AAGGCCCUAGCUUAGUUAAAGCGUCUGGGUUGCAUUCAGGAGAUGCAAGUUAAUAUCUUGCGGGUCUUA
rnacentral:tRNA from 1 species